rnacentral:rRNA from 1 species
GACGAACGUUGAUGGCGUGCCUCAUACAUGCAAGUCGAGCGGGUAGCAAUACCAGCGACGGACGGGUGAGUAACACGUAAAGAAUCUGCCCUGAAGCGGGGAAUAACUAUCCCAACGGAUAGCUAAUACCGCAUAAUGAUUGAGGUGGCAUCACCUCUUCUCAAAAGGCUUCGGCCACUUCAGGAUGACUUUGCGGCCCAUUAGCUUGUUGGCGGUGUAAUAGACCACCAAGGCGACGAUGGGUAUCCGGCCUGAGAGGGUGUACGGACACAUUGGGACUGAGAUACGGCCCAGACUCCUACGGGAGGCAGCAGUAGGGAAUUUUGCGCAAUGGAGGAAACUCUGACGCAGCAACGCCAUGUGUGGGAUGAAGCAUUUCGGUGUGUAAACCACUGUCAGCGGGGAAUAAAUGGUCGCUUCGGCGGCAGUUGAAUGUACCCGC